UCCGUGCCAGCAGCCGCGGUAAUACGGAGGGUGCAGAGCGUUAAUCGGAAUUACUGGGCGUAAAGGGUGCGUAGGUGGUUGAUUAAGUUAUCUGUGAAAUUCCUGGGCUUAACCUGGGACGGUCAGAUAAUACUGGUUGACUCGAGUAUGGGAGAGGGUAGUGGAAUUUCCGGUGUAGCGGUGAAAUGCGUAGAGAUCGGAAGGAACACCAGUGGCGAAGGCGGCUACCUGGCCUAAUACUGACACUGAGGCACGAAAGCGUGGGGAGCAAACAGGAUUAGAUACCCUGGUAGUCCACGCUGUAAACGAUGUCAACU
rnacentral:rRNA from 1 species